GUCGAGCGAGCAAUAUUAAGGAAGUUUUCGGAUGGAAUUAAAAUUGACUGAGCGGCGGACGGGUGAGUAACGCGUGGGUAACCUGCCUCAUACAGGGGGAUAACAGUUGGAAACGACUGCUAAUACCGCAUAAGCGCACAGUGCUGCAUAGCACAGUGUGAAAAACUCCGGUGGUAUGAGAUGGACCCGCGUCUGAUUAGGUAGUUGGUGAGGUAACGGCCCACCAAGCCGACGAUCAGUAGCCGACCUGAGAGGGUGACCGGCCACAUUGGGACUGAGACACGGCCCAAACUCCUACGGGAGGCAGCAGUGGGGAAUAUUGGACAAUGGGGGAAACCCUGAUCCAGCGACGCCGCGUGAGUGAAGAAGUGUUUCGGCAUGUAAAGCUCUAUCAGCAGGGAAGAAAAUGACGGUACCUGACUAAGAAGCCCCGGCUAACUACGUGCCAGCAGCCGCGGUAAUACGUAGGGGGCAAGCGUUAUCCGGAUUUACUGGGUGUAAAGGGAGCGUAGACGGCGANCCAAGUCUGGAGUGAAAGCCCGGGGCUCAACCCCGGGACUGCUUUGGAAACUGUGUUGCUAGAGUGCAGGAGAGGUAAGUGGAAUUCCUAGUGUAGCGGUGAAAUGCGUAGAUAUUAGGAGGAACACCAGUGGCGAAGGCGGCUUACUGGACUGUAACUGACGUUGAGGCUCGAAAGCGUGGGGAGCAAACAGGAUUAGAUACCCUGGUAGUCCACGCCG
rnacentral:rRNA from 1 species